rnacentral:rRNA from 1 species
UGGGGAAUUUUGCACAAUGGGGGGAACCUUGAUGCAGCGACGCCGCGUGAGGGAUGGAGGCCUUCGGGUUGUGAACCUCUUUCGCUCGUGUGCAAGCCGCUAUUUGGGUAGUGGUGAGUGUAGCGGGUAAAGAAGCGCCGGCUAACUACGUGCCAGCAGCCGCGGUAAUACGUAGGGCGCGAGCGUUGUCCGGACUUAUUGGGCGUUAAGGGCUUGUAGGCGGUUUGUUGCGCCUGUCGUGUAAUCCUCUGGCUUAACUGGGGGUGUGCGGUGGGUACGAGCAAGCUUGUGUGCGGUAGGGGAGAUUGGAAUUCCUGGUGUAGAGGUGGAAUGCGCAGAUAUCAGGAGGAACACCGGUGGCAAAGACGGGUCUCUGGGCCGUUACUGACGCUGAGGAGCAAAAGCGUGGGGAGCGAACAGG